UACGGAGGGUGCGAGCGUUGUCCGGAAUCACUGGGCGUAAAGGGCGCGUAGGUGGCCCGUUAAGUGGCUGGUGAAAUCCCGGGGCUCAACUCCGGGGCUGCCGGUCAGACUGGCGAGCUAGAGCACGGUAGGGGCAGAUGGAAUUCCCGGUGUAGCGGUGGAAUGCGUAGAUAUCUGGAGGAACACCGGUGGCGAAGGCGGCAUCCUGGACCGAUACUGACGCUGAGGAGCGAAAGCCAGGGGAGCAAACGGG
rnacentral:rRNA from 1 species